AACGAACGCUGGCGGCAGGCUUAACACAUGCAAGUCGAACGCCCCGCAAGGGGAGUGGCAGACGGGUGAGUAACGCGUGGGAAUCUACCCAUCUCUACGGGAUAGCUCCGGGAAACUGGAAUUAAUACCGUAUACGUCCUGAGGGAGAAAGAUUUAUCGGGGAUGGAUGAGCCCGCGUUGGAUUAGCUAGUUGGUGGGGUAAAGGCCUACCAAGGCGACGAUCCAUAGCUGGUCUGAGAGGAUGACCAGCCACAUUGGGACUGAGACACGGCCCAAACUCCUACGGGAGGCAGCAGUGGGGAAUAUUGGACAAUGGGCGCAAGCCUGAUCCAGCCAUGCCGCGUGAGUGAUGAAGGUCUUAGGAUUGUAAAGCUCUUUCAGUGGGGACGAUAAUGACGGUACUCACAGAAG
rnacentral:rRNA from 1 species